UAUCAGAUUGGUGCAAAAGUAAUUGUGGUUUUUGCCGUAAAAGUAGAGGCAAAAACCUCAAUUGUUUUUGCGCCAGCCUAAUA
rnacentral:miRNA from 1 species